rnacentral:rRNA from 1 species
GAUGAACGCUAGCGGGAGGCCUAAUACAUGCAAGUCGAGCGGUAGAGUGACUUCGGUUGCUUGAGAGCGGCGAACGGGUGAGUAACGCGUACACAAUCUACCUUUAAGAGGGGAAUAGCCCUGGGAAACUGGGAUUAAUGCCCCAUGGCAUCACGAGACGGCAUCGUUUUGUGAUUAAAGCUGAGGUGCUUAGAGAUGAGUGUGCGUCUGAUUAGCUAGUUGGUGCGGUAACGGCGCACCAAGGCGACGAUCAGUAGGGGGCGUGAGAGCGUGGACCCCCACACGGGUACUGAGACACGGACCCGACUCCUACGGGAGGCAGCAGUAAGGAAUAUUGGUCAAUGGAGGAAACUCUGAACCAGCCAUCCCGCGUGCAGGAAGAAUGCCCUAUGGGUUGUAAACUGCUUUUAUCUGGGAAGAAAAGUCGGGAUUUAUCCUGAUCUGACGGUACCUUUCGAAUAAGCACCGGCUAACUCCGUGCCAGCAGCCGCGGUAAAGU